rnacentral:rRNA from 1 species
GUACGGGAGGCAGCAGUGAGGAAUCUUGCGCAAUGGGGGCAACCCUGACGCAGCAACGCCGCGUGAGUGAUGAAGGCCUUCGGGUCGUAAAGCUCUGUCAGGUGGGAAGAAACUCCCCAUGGUAAAUAAUCAUGGGGAUUGACGGUACCGCCAGAGGAAGCACCGGCUAACUCCGUGCCAGCAGCCGCGGUAAUACGGAGGGUGCUAGCGUUGUUCGGAAUUAUUGGGCGUAAAGAGCGUGUAGGCGGUUAGGUAAGUCAGAUGUGAAAUCCCUUGGCUUAACCAAGGAAGUGCAUUUGAAACUACCUGGCUUGAGUACGGGAGGGGGAAGCGGAAUUCCUGGUGUAGAGGUGAAAUUCGUAGAUAUCAGGAGGAACACCGGUGGCGAAGGCGGCUUCCUGGACCGAUACUGACGCUGAGACGCGAAAGCGUGGGGAGCAAACAGGAUUAGAUACCCUGGUAGC